rnacentral:rRNA from 1 species
AAUAUUUCGCAAGGGGGGAAACUCUGACGCAGCGACGCCGCGUGAGCGACGAAGGUCUUCGGAUCGGAAAGCUCUGUCCUUGGGGAAGAAGAACGAAAGAUUUGACGGUACCCGAGGAGGAAGCCCCGGCUAACUACGUGCCAGCAGCCGCGGUAAUACGUAGGGGGCAAGCGUUGUCCGGAAUUAUUGGGCGUAAAGGGUGCGUAGGCGGCCUUUUAAGUCAGGUGUGAAAGCCCACGGCUUAACCGUGGGAUUGCAUUUGAAACUGGAAGGCUUGAGUAUCGGAGAGGGUAGUGGAAUUCCCAGUGUAGCGGUGGAAUGCGUAGAUAUUGGGAGGAACACCAGUGGCGAAGGCGACUACCUGGACGAAAACUGACGCUGAGGCACGAAAGCGUGGGGAGCAAACA